CUUCUUUUCCUCUCGUCAAAAUCGACCGCCCGCCUCCCGCGCUGCUAACGCGGACCCCCCGACCCGCCGGAGUGAAUCAACCCGGGAGCACCGGUGCGGCAGCCGCGCCAGCAAUCCCGUCGUCAUCCUCGCAGGCCGCGGACUCCGGCGGCCGCCGCCCCUCCCAUCCCCGGCGCGGACCCCCGCGACCCGACGGCGUGAAUCGAACCGGGAGCACGGGUGCGGCAGCCUCCAUCAAUCCCGGCGUCGUCCUCAUCCGUACUCCGUACUCCGGCGGCCGCAGCCGUCAUCCGCGCCGGGAGCCGGCUCCUGCGGGCGCCGCGCCCGGACUCCGCGCUGGCCAAGAGCCGACGGCGGCCCACGCCUCCACGCGCAGCCAACGGGACCCCCAAAGCUUGACUUGCUUGACGGCGUUCGCCACCGACCGCCGGGGCUGGCUCCGGGCUCGCCCUCGUCGGAUCCGGCCUCGCUCUCGCCGGAUCUGGCCGCUCCCGUUUGGGGAAUGCUGUCGCUCACCCAUGGGCGGCCUGCGUUCUCGCUCGGGGCCCCUGGCGGGCGUUCUUGUCCUUGCCCCCUCUCCCUUGGGCGGGUCAGCAAGUGGCGGCGCGGCUCGAGGAGGCGCGGACGACGCACAGCCACAUCCACCGCCCGCUCAGCUCGCUCCGCUCCGCUCCGCUUGGGCCGGCCCCUCGCGUCCCACCCCGCUGCGGACAAGAGGACCGGCGGCGGGCGGGGCCCCAAGCCGCUAUGCCCCGCGUUGCCGAGGGCCAAGGCCUUCUCGCACGCGGCUGUCGUCCACCGGUCCAUGUCGUCGUUGCCGAGGCUGGCCUGUACGCCGGACGCCACGGGUUGCAUCCGCCGCCACCGCCUCGGCUCCGCCGCGGCGCGAAUCCGCUCUUCCCACGAGCGGAUCGGGGCAGGACGUCGGCGGAUCGAGCUUCGAGCUCCGGCGACGCGGGCCCUCCCCUGUGUCGUGGACAGUAGCCGCGAGCAACAGGCGGCAGCCUAGCGGCGGGGCAGCGGCGCGGCGGGGCUCCGCCAGGCGCGGCCCGCGGCAUGGUCCCUCGCCUGCGGGGCCAAGUGGCGGGCGCCCCUGCCGCGCGUCCUCGCGGCGCCCCCUCGCCGGCGUCCCCGCGCUCCGGAUCUCGCCCUCACCGCAGUCGCCGGCGGUGUGGAUCCGCUUCCUCCCUGGCCGGCUCGGGUCCAUGGCAUCCAUGGCCUGCGAGGCCCUCCUCCCUCACCCCUCCCUGGCCGGCGGGGUCCAUGGCCGGCGCGCCCUCCUCUGGCCAUGCGCGGCCGCCAGCUCGCCUCGCCGCGGCAGCGAAAGCUCGCACGCGCCGGGCUGAGCUCCGGCGGCGGCGUCCAUGGCCGGCGAGGCUCCGUGCUGCCUCCGGGCACGCGCCGCGGCCGGGGACGGUUGGCCGGCGGUGGCCCCCGCGCCACGUCACGCAGUAGCGCGCGGCCGCUUCCUCCCCUGGAUUCCCAGGACCUGCUUGUGCAGGAGGUUGGCAUCCGCCGACAGGUGACUAGCCUGUGCAAGCACCUUUCUUUCCAAGCCCAUCAAGUGGUGAAGUAGCUCAUCAGAUUUUUGGUUUGAAUUUCUGUAGCAUAUCUUGUAGUUCUUAUAAUGGGCGUCCAAAGCAGAAGGUUGAGACUUCGAAUGUGGCGAAGCCGGUAGCAUUAAGUCUCAUUGAGAGGGUUUUGAUUGUUGGAUGAUGAAUUAGCACUCGCUGUGUGAUCUUUUUAGAAUGUUAACUAAUGCAAGUUUGUGGGAAAAUACAAUUCUGAUCUUUGGGAUUGUAUGAGAUUAUUAGGGUUUCUGUACAAGGUUGGUCAUAAUUAACAUUUUGUAAGAGUUCUUUUGUUCAAAGGUUUAACCAUGCUGUAAAAAUAACAGCAAAUCAUGUGUUCUAUUGUUGCUCUGAACUCUGAAAUUGUGUUUUUUUUUGAAAGACUGAAAUAGUGUUGCUGCAUCACUAUACGCUUUGGCUAUAUUCCUCAAAUAUUACUCAGUUAUUUUUGCCAUAACACUAAUCUGCACCAUUGUACUGAUCCAAAAUUUGUUGACACGGGGAGGGAACAAGUUUCAGAGCUACUUCUUGUGUUGUAUCAAGGCCUCAAGAGGAGGAAGUGCUUUCAAUGCCUGUGUGAACAAUUAGAUCUUGAUUUUGUUAAAUAUCUAAAAAUGUGUAAUAUAUUUACUUGAUGACUGCUCUGUUGAUAUGUACGAAGAACAAACCAGUUUUAUGUCUA